rnacentral:rRNA from 1 species
CGGACGGGUGAGUAAUGUCUGGGAAACUGCCUGAUGGAGGGGGAUAACUACUGGAAACGGUAGCUAAUACCGCAUAACGUCGCAAGGCCAAAGAGGGGGACCUUCGGGCCUCUUGCCAUCGGAUGUGCCCAGAUGGGAUUAGCUAGUAGGUGGGGUAACGGCUCACCUAGGCGACGAUCCCUAGCUGGUCUGAGAGGAUGACCAGCCACACUGGAACUGAGACACGGUCCAG